UACAGAGGGUGCAAGCGUUAAUCGGAAUUACUGGGCGUAAAGCGUGCGUAGACGGUUAUGUAAGUCGGGUGUGAAAGCCCCGGGCUCAACCUGGGAAUGCCAUUCGAGACUGCAUAGCUAGGGUGCGGAAGAGGGAGGCGGAAUUUCCGGUGUAGCGGUGAAAUGCGUAGAUAUCGGAAGGAACACCAGUGGCGAAAGCGGCUUCCUGGUCCAGCACCGACGUUCAGGCACGAAAGCGUGGGGAGCAAACAGG
rnacentral:rRNA from 1 species